GACGAACGCUGGCGGCGUGCCUAAUACAUGCAAGUAGAACGCUGAAGGAGGAGCUUGCUUCUCUGGAUGAGUUGCGAACGGGUGAGUAACGCGUAGGUAACCUGCCUGGUAGCGGGGGAUAACUAUUGGAAACGAUAGCUAAUACCGCAUAAGAGUAGAUGUCGCAUGACAUUUGCUUAAAAGGUGCAAUUGCAUCACUACCAGAUGGACCUGCGUUGUAUUAGCUAGUUGGUGAGGUAACGGCUCACCAAGGCGACGAUACAUAGCCGACCUGAGAGGGUGAUCGGCCACACUGGGACUGAGACACGGCCCAGACUCCUACGGGAGGCAGCAGUAGGGAAUCUUCGGCAAUGGACGGAAGUCUGACCGAGCAACGCCGCGUGAGUGAAGAAGGUUUUCGGAUCGUAAAGCUCUGUUGUAAGAGAAGAACGAGUGUGAGA
rnacentral:rRNA from 1 species